GCGGAUGCCACCGCAGCCUUCAGAAAGGGUGUGGAGGAUGGCGUGUGCAACUUGGAGGUAGGUUGGCCUCAUGUCUGUUCCUGGGGAGGUGACGCAACAGCUUGUUGCAGGUGCAUUGCCAUGUGACUGGAGGAGAAGGUAUUUGCAAGGAGCAGUCCAGGUGGAUGGACAGAGGAGAAGUCAUGCCGGACCAAAAGGGUGAAGGCUGCAGAGAGGAUUGGCUGGAGCAGGUGUGCAGUUUUCCCAGUGGUGGGAUGAAGGAGGUGGUUGAUGGAGGUCUCUGUGCAGGUUCAGGCUGGAGGCAGGAUCCUGGUGGUGUGAGUGGGGCGCCCCUGUGGAGCAAGGGUGGAAGGUGGUGGCAGGUCCCUGUCCCGGAGGAGUGGAGUUAAGGGUCCUGGCGUGGCUGUUUUCCUGCAUGGAAGAUGGAGAUCCUGGGAGCUGUGAUGAGAGGAGCAGAGCCAGCAGCUGAAUUUCUGCACGGCAGCCUUUCUCGAAUGCAGUAGGGCUUCCCUGGCUUGAAGAUGGGUGUGCUGUCCUGAGGGAGGAGCAGUGUUGACUGUCUUACAGUGACCUUCUGCUUUCCUUUAAGAAGAGUCCACUAAGAACUGUAUUGGGUUUUUUCAGUAGGUAACUCAGGAGAGGGCUUCUCGGUGAAAUCCUUUGUGUUGAAUUGCAGUAAGUUGAGUAUG
ensembl:lncRNA